rnacentral:rRNA from 1 species
CAAUAGCGUAUAUUAAAGUUGUUCCAGUUAAAAAGCUCGUAGUUGGAUUUCUGGUGGGAGCGAUCGGUCUGGCGCUUAGCGCGAGUACUUGCAUCGUCUCCGGCCAUCCUUGGGGAGAGUCUGUCUGGCAUUAGGUUGUCGGGCAGAGGAUCCUCAUCGUUUACUGUGAAAAAAUUAGAGUGUUCAAAGCAGGCUUAUGCCGUUGAAUAUAUUAGCAUGGAAUAAUAAGAUAGGACUUUGGUACUAUUUUGUUGGUUUGCGCACCAAAGUAAUGAUUAAUAGGGACAGUUGGGGGUAUUCGUAUUCCGUUGUCAGAGGUGAAAUUCUUGGAUUUACGGAAGACGAACUACUGCGAAAGCAUUUACCAAGGAUGUUUUCAUUAA